GGGCCCUCCUGCCCUGCGUUUAUCUGCUGCUCCUUGUCAUCAUCUCCGUGGGCAAUGCCCCUGAACCCCAUUCUCCAGCUAUCCGGCAGCGUGCUGGACGUCGUCCUCCUCGACGCGGCCAUCCCCGACGAGCUCUUUUGGUCAGAGGAGGUGGAGCAGCAAGGCCUCCUAUCCUCCAGCGCGUGGACCGACAGCUGUGUCCUCCUGCUCUCCUAGUGUGCAAACUAUAUGCAUAUCUAGGAUAUGAUGCAAGCAUGCAGUAGCAUGAGACCUCUUUCCUAAUUCUAGGACAUGAUGUGAAGCUUGCAUCUGAUUUUAAGGUAUUGAAUUACACUGAAUUUGCUGGAGAACAACUUUUCCUAGAAAACUUAAAGAACAAGUUCUGAGGUGGAACUAAGGGGCUUUAGGUACGGAGAUUGUCUGACAGCGGCACACGCGAUGGUGCUCACAUGUGCGAUUUGGCAAGGAAGUAUGUGAUCACAGUAUUGCUGUUGUCAGCGGCGGCUUCCCUCGCCGCAUACAAUUUCUCUCAAUCAAUAUUUUAUUUGCCAGAUUGGUCCUUUGGCUGUAUUUUGGUCUCCUGCAGGAUGAACAUGGGGAUUGGUUGGGCCGGUGCUUCCAGACUUGCCUGAAAUGGAAUCCUCCAGUUGAGGAAGAUUGAUUCUUGCAGAUGUGAGGGAAGAACUUGUGGAGAGGCUCACCUCGCUCUUCACAAAAGGCCAAUACAUACUUGUUGUACUACUGGAUGAACUUAUAUUUUUAUAUAUGUUUGUAAAUGUUUCCAAUGUGGCUUUAGUGAUGUCAUCUAGGAUCCUUGUUGUAAUGGACGAUUUUUUUUAGAAAUGGUAAUGGAUGAAAUAA